AACUUUUAAGAUUAUCUCACAAAUUGACAAAAUUGUAUGUUUAUGUUUGAAGGACUUAUUUUUGAUGGUUUUAGUGAUUUUGCACCUGAGUCUGGCAUCGUAGAAGGACCAUUCUGAUAUCAGAUUUGAUUUUGCACCUGAGUCUGGCAUCGUAGAAGGACCAUUCUGAUAUCAGAUUGGAUUUUCCAUCCGAGUCUGACAUCGUAGAAGGACCAUUCUUGCAUCAGAUUGGAUUUUGCUCCUGAGUGUGACAUCGUAGAAGGACCAUUUUUGCAUCAGAUUAGAUUUUGCUCCUGAGUCUGACAUUGUAGAAAGAUCAUUCUUACAUCACAUUGGAUUUUGCUCCUGAGUGUGACAUCGUAGAAGGACCAUUCUUGCAUCAGAUUGGAUUCUGCUCCUGAGUCUGACAUCGUAGAAAGACCAUUCUUUCAUUAAAUUGGAUUUUGCUCCUGAGUCUGACAUCGUAGAAGGACCAUUCUUGCAUCAAAUUGUAAGUUUUUAAUUCCUUUAUCAUUUUCCUAAAUAACUUUUGUGAUUAUCUCCCAAAUUGACCCCCAAAAUUGCGU